AGCACGUCUCAGGUUGAUAGCCUUGGAUGUAUUAAAAGUAUUUUUUUCUAAAUUUUUUUUUUUUUUUAACUGCCAAAUCGGCAGUCUGUUCCCUAAAGCUCCGGUUAGCGAGACUAUAGGGUUUUAUUCUGGCUGCAGAAUAACUGGCUGGUGUGGCUUUGCAAAGGGGGGCAAAAAGAAAAGAGAGAGAGAGGGAGUACGUGAGUCGUCCAGUGAAAUCUCUAUUGUUUGAAAUUUACCUUUUAUCAGAAUUUGAAGAUGAAAACGACAAAUCUUUAAAACUCUAGACUACUCGCGGAUGUAGAAUUCCGGGGCUUACAGGUAUUUUAUGAUGUGAAAAAUAUGCGCUCAUUGUAUGAAUUUACAUGUUGUGUGAGAUGGACUUGAUUAUGAUCAUCGUGCUCUUUUAACUAAUCACCGGAUAGUGGUGGAGAAAGUAAUGAUGAUGUGUGUUUUCAAUCGUUUUCCAGAUUUAUGCAAUUGCCUUCUGCAAAUCCGUUUCAUGUCAGUGUCUUUAGUAUUCAGAGAAGUGCAUAUUUUAUGCCUGUGCUCUCAGGCCAGCAGAAGUGUGCUGGCUGUAGCGCUGAUGCUCUAGAAUAUGGUAAGCUCUUAAUAGGCUAAUCAGAGAUGAAAGCGUGUGGUUUUGAUUUACUUUUGCCCACUUGGGCCAUGCUAGACUCAACUCUCUGGAGCCUUGUUUAUCAGGAUAUGUCUGGAUAUAUGGUACAUGAGACUAAAGUUUAGGGAUUGAGGAGCGAGAACAAGAGUGCUGGAGGAAGUAUUGGAAAAUCUUUCUGAUAAUAUGUGCUAUAAUUUCUGUCUUUGAUAAGUUUUCCACUUGUGCUAGGAGCAGAGAAAGCAAGCCAGAGUAAGAAAGCACACUGAGAGGGAACAAGAGAGUAAGUUUCUUACUCUUGUUUUUAUUUGAGCUGCUGGUGCAACGCGUUUGGGCCAAAUGCCAACUGUCUGGGUCACACGCGUUUUAUCCAAAUAGAUUUAGCGCUGCUGUCUGGAAAUGGGCUGCUGAAUGUUAACUUUAGGAUCAACUCAACCAGGGCAGCUCAGACUGUUACCCUCUGUCUGGAUGAAGUGGAAUGGGAAGGGGGGUGGUGGUGAGGGUGUGCAAAGCCCCAGGCUGAGGGGGGAGGGGGGACGACAACUACAAACUAUUGCUUGG
rnacentral:lncRNA from 1 species